rnacentral:rRNA from 1 species
UACGGGGGGGGCAAGCGUUGUUCGGAAUUACUGGGCGUAAAGGGCUCGUAGGCGGCCAACUAAGUCCGACGUGAAAUCCCCAGGCUUAACCUGGGAACUGCGUCGGAUACUGGAUGGCUUGAAUCCGGGAGAGGGAUGCGGAAUUCCUGGUGUAGCGGUGAAAUGCGCAGAUAUCAGGAGGAACACCGGUGGCGAAGGCGGGUCUCUGGGCCGAUACUGACGCUGAGGAGCGAAAGCAUGGGUAGCGAACAGG